GGGCCAGACUCCUACGGGAGGCAGCAGUGGGGAAUAUUGGACAAUGGGGGGAACCCUGAUCCAGCGACGCCGCGUGAGUGAAGAAGUAUUUCGGUAUGUAAAGCUCUAUCAGCAGGGAAGAAAGAAAUGACGGUACCUGACUAAGAAGCCCCGGCUAACUACGUGCCAGCAGCCGCGGUAAUACGUAGGGGGCAAGCGUUAUCCGGAUUUACUGGGUGUAAAGGGAGCGUAGACGGCGAUGCAAGUCAGAUGUGAAAGCCCGGGGCUCAACCCCGGGACUGCAUUGGGAACUGGCGCGCUGGAGUGCCGGAGGGGUAGGCGGAAUUCCUAGUGUAGCGGUGAAAUGCGUAGAUAUUAGGAGGAACGCCAGUGGCGAAGGCGGCCUACUGGACGGUGACUGACGCUGAGGCUCGAAAGCGUGGGGAGCAAACAGGAUUAGAUACCCCAGUAC
rnacentral:rRNA from 1 species